rnacentral:tRNA from 1 species
GGGUGUGGCUCAGUGGUAGACUACUUGCCUAGCGUGCAUUAGGCUCUGGGUUUGAUCCCCAGCACCAAACA